GAGCUCUACCUUUGAAGAUGAAACGUCAUUCUGGAUGCUCAUUUAAAAUUAGGUGUAAUCUAUUCACUUGCAUAACAAAGACAGCAGCUUCUGAGCAAAGUGCUCACCAAAAGGAAGUGAAACCGCUGACACAAUGUGAAGAGCUGAAAACAAAGUGAUGCAGCUAACACACUUCUCUCAGGGACAUGGUGCAUCUUGAUUUUCUUAAAUGGUUUCUGCCUAAUGCUGUCAUGUGAAGGCUCUUCAGAAACCCAGGGAUGGUUCUUAAAACAUCCAGCUCUGUCUACUGAUGCUGAAAGACACUGGGAGACUUCACCUGUCACAGAAUCCUCUAAAAUUUGUCCCUGUAUCAGCUUUUGCUGUUUGAGCAAGAUAAUAAGAAGAAUAAUCAUUGCCAUAGCACUUGAUGGUCUUGCACUGUGUUAGAAGGAUGCAACAGAGCAGAAGGCUGAAAGCUCAACUAUCCAAGUCUCUCCAUCCUAAUGCACUCCUGUCGAGCAUAGCAGGGCUUUGAAGAAAGAUAAAAACAGAAAAACCUGGCAUUAAAGACUCUGGCAGAAUCUUUGAAAAGCUUCUUUCUUUGUCUCUCAAAUUCAGCAACAUAAUGUGU